CCUGAAAGCACAAGAACCCACUGAGUUGGGUACACACACACACACACACACACACACACACACACAACUUUCACGUAAGGUCAUUCGUCACAGCAUUCUUUGUGAUAGUAGUCCCCUAAAUGUCCCCAGUAAGACUCUACAGUAAUUAUGUUGCCACAAAGAUUAUUGUGAGGUUUGAAAACAAGAGGUAGAACUUUAUGUGACAUGAAUGAUAUGCAACCAACAGAUCCAUCAGUGGUCAGAAAAGCAAAGUUCAUUCUUUGAAGGACAUUUUAAAUUUGUCACAGGCAGUACGGACAUCCCAAGAAUUGCUCAUGGGGCUUUGCACUAUUUUCAACCUCAUUUUACAAAUGAGGAAACUGGUUUGUGAGUUGAGAAAGCAUUCCAUUAUGUAGCUGUGUACACAUGAAUUUUUUGGAAGCACUGGUUAAAAAAGAAACGACUAUCCAUAGGGCCUGGCUUCUAGGAUUUAAAUGUGGGGCCAAGGUAUUGGCCUUUGGCUAUCUUAAUUUUGCAUGUUUAAUGCCAUGCACCUCUUCUAAGUUAAAAUCUCUAAUUCGAAGAAUUAGAAAUGUAUUUCAAGAGCCAAAAACGAAGGACAUUUGGGUUGCCAGAAUCUGCUUGUGAACAGCCAAGUUGAGCAACGCAACACUGACGACAUAGGGCUCACAUGAAAAUACAUUCAUCUUAAAAAAUUUAAAAUCGCCAACUAAGCUUAUGAAAGAUGGUUUAUCUUCAAAGUGGUGAUAAUUUCUCCACAUUUAAAGCAGAGAAAACACACGCGAGCAGUUAAACGCCAACUCUUCAAAAGACUCCUUAGUACGGCCUAAUUCGCUCUCCCGGUGGUCGUGGCCUAAGAAGCAGCCUUUGAGCCUCGGGCGCCGCACCCGCCCCAGCUGUUCCCUCUCCGUUCCCGCCCACUCAGGCUACUAUCCGUGAGGCUGCCCGACUGCCAAAGACGCUAGGGUACAAACGGCGUUUCCAGAGGAGGCAGCACAAAACCCAGAAGCUACCGCCUACUCCCGGCCAAGAGCUUAGACGUCAUCAGACAGCGACCGCCCAGGACCAAUCAGAAUGUCAGCUGGGAACGCCGCCUGCGCCACGUGAUCCUGGAACCCCACCUCUCCAAGGUAGCACUCAGCCGCCCACCUGCCCUAGCCUGUUACAGACUGUUAGCCCAACAUUAUCAACCUCAGAAGGACUUCAGGGUGAGAAGGAACGGCCUGCAGAAGCCUGGCCUCAAACUGUGUUGACCACCCACACUGUUGCCCACAGGGGCCUGGACUCCACCGAGGGGAGAUGGGAGACUGCGCUUUUGAAUCACACACCUGCUAUAAUGUCUUGGGAAGGAUAUGCACCAUGCCACUCCAUGCCACACCACUGCUCUGCUGGAACACAUAGCUACCAGAAUCCUGCCAUAAUUGUAAACCCUCAGCUUCAGUAAUGAAUUAAAGAGGCAGACUUUAAAAGACUAUUUGGGAAAAGAUGGAAAAAGGAAGAUAGGUAGCUACCUUGGAAGAGUAGCGCACAUCAGAAGUGAAUACCCACGGAUUUUUGUCAUGGGCCUCUUUUUAUUUAGGACUAGUGAUUUUUCCCAUCCCCCACGUGGGCACCUGGAAGUUGUCACCAUCUGAUUGGCCCUCUGGCUGCCUUUGAUCCUAACCUGGCACUUCUAUCUGCUUUCUUUCUGGCCUUUGAUUCCUUUCUGCCCUUUUGCGAUGGGUGGGGUGCUUACAGAAAAGUAACUUAGAGUUAAUGACCAGGCAAAGGGGACAGAUAUGUAUCUGGUGGAGGAAUACUGAUGCUAAACUGAAUCUUGUCUCCUUUGCAUUUUAUCAGAGGUGGGUGAGGGGGCUGAUUUCCCAGGUCUUUCAAAUUUCUGGCUUCCUUCUUGCUUUGUUAACUCUUUCUGAUAAAUUCCCAUGGUAACUGUGCUACCUGGUGCCUCACUGUUGUGUCUGUCAGUCUGCAUGCCUGCCUGUGUAAUUACUCUUAACUGCAGAGUCUACCCAUGGAGGCAGAAGCUGCCCCCAGUAAGAUUUACCAUUAAUUUUUAAAUAAAGCCUAUCUUUUUCCUGCCUAGAAGCUCCCUUUCACUACACUGGGGAAGGUACUAUGUAUCCAAAAUAUAAAAGGACUAUUAAUACAC
rnacentral:lncRNA from 1 species